rnacentral:rRNA from 1 species
GCUUGUCUCAAAGAUUAAGCCAUGCAUGUCUAAGUGUAAAUAAGUCUAUACUGUGAAACUGCGAAUGGCUCAUUAAAUCAGUUAUCGUUUAUUUGAUGAUCUCUUACUACUUGGAUAACCGUAGUAAUUCUAGAGCUAAUACAUGCGUAAAGCGCUUCGUAAGAAGUGUGUGUUUAUUAGAUACAACCGCCCCUCACGGGUUUUGGUGACUCAUAAUAACCGAACGGACCGCUUCAUGCGGUACGUCGUUCUGGAUUCUACCCUAUCAGCUUUCGAUGGUAGGGUAUUGGCCUACCAUGGCGUUAACGGGUAACGGAGAAUUAGGGUUCGAUUCCGGAGAGGGAGCCUGAGAAACGGCUACCACAUCCAAGGAAGGCAGCAGG